GUCAAUCAUAUCUCAAUAUUUAUUACCGAAAUCUAUCUUCCCAUUUAUAGCUGCCUUUGAUGAAGUCAAAAAAUAUUUUGAGACCUGAAAUUAUCCUGAUAAAAAUAUUAUUCACACUUGUAUAAGUAAAUAUCUACAAAAAAUGAAAUCUAUAAAUAGAAGUAUCAAGAAUGUAGCUCUAGUGCAGGGGUUCUCAACCUGUGGGUUGCGACCCCCUUGGGAGUCGAUUGAUGAUUUGCCAGGGGUCGCCUAAGACCAUCAAAAAAAUGGAUUGUUUUGUCUAUUCUUCUAUUGCUGUGUGUGUGUGAGGGGGGGGGGG